GGAAAAAAUUGACAUCUGAAAUAUCAAGCCUCUGGUUGUGUGCUGCCUCAAGAGGAAGUGAGGCCCCCUGCCCCCACCCAGUUACAGCUCUUGUGAGAUUUUGCAAGCGAGGGGAGGAGGAGAGGAAGGUGAGUGGACAGUGAGAGAAAGCAGCAGCCAGGCCAGCCACCAGGUGAUGAAAGAAAGCAGCAGCCAGGCCAGCUGGCUGGCCACCGGACACCAAGAGGAAGCGGUGGCCCGCCCGACCACCAGGAGGCUUCCAUGGGGAAUUAUGCAAGAAGCAGCUGAAAGAAGAAAUUUCUAGCCUACAAGUCAAUGCCUAAAACCAUCAGGUGAGACUUUUUGCUAGGCAAGUAAGUAGAAAUGACAAGGGUGAGGAGAAGGAAGGAGUACUCCUACUAAAGCAAUCAUUAAUAUCUCUUACCCUAAUCCAUUAAUUCUCAUGUGCAGCAACAGGAUGUAUUAGAUGUGAAUGAGGAUGUCUGUACUACUAAACAUAUACCGUAUUUUAUGGACUAUAAGACUCACUUUUUUCAUCGAAAAAUAUCCACCAAAAUUCAGGUGCGUCUUAUAUGUUUUAACAGUUUAAUAUGUUAAAACUCUGAAAAACUGGAUUAAAAUUAAGGUGCGUCUUAUAGUCUGUAGCGUCUUAUAGUCUGUAAAAUACGGUAGCUAGGACCAGGGGAACCAUUAGGGGAACCAGGAAGCCUAGGGGCCCAGGUCCGUGUAUCCAC